CCUUAACCUGCUAAAUAGACCGCUUAAGCGUGAGAAUGCUUGAGGAGGUGUUCUUAGAGGGACUGUCUGUGACUAACAGAUGGAAGUUUGAGGCAAUAACAGGUCUGUGAUGCCCUUAGAUGUUCUGGGCCGCACGCGCGCUACACUGAUAAAGGCAGCGAGAUGCUUCGGCAGGCCUUGACCGGAAGGACAGGGGAAACUUGUGAAACUUUAUCGUGAUGGGGAUUGACCAUUGCAAUUAUUGGUCAUGAACGAGGAAUUCCUAGUAAGUGCGAGUCAUCAGCUCGCGUUGAUUACGUCCCUGCCCUUUGUACACACCGCCCGUCGAUACUACCGAUUGAAUGGCUUAGUGAGGCGUCUGGAUGAGGCGGGGAGUCCGCAAGGAGAACCUGCAGCAGAAACUGGUCAAACUUGGUCAUUUAGAGGAAGUAAAAGUCG
rnacentral:rRNA from 1 species